rnacentral:rRNA from 1 species
GAUGAACGCUGGCGGCGUGCCUAAUACAUGCAAGUCGAGCGAACAGAUGAGGAUCUUGCUCCUCGGACGUUAGCGGCGGACGGGUGAAAAACACGUGGAUAACCUACCUGUAAUACUGAUAUAACUUCGGGAAACCGGAGCUAACACCAGAGAAUAUAUUGAACCACAGGGGGCAAUAGUAAAAUACGGUGUUGGUGUCACGUAUAGAGGGUUCCCGGCCGUUUUAGCUAGUUGGGAAGGUAACGGCUUAUCAAGGCAACCAUGCGUAGCCGACCUGAGAGGGGGGUCGGCCGCCCGAGAACUGAGACACGGACCAGACGCCUACGGGAGGGCGCAGUAGGGAAUCUUCCGCAAUGGGCGAAAGCCUGACGGAGCAACGCGGCGCGAGAUAUGACGGUCUUCGGAUCGUAAAACUCUGUUAUUAGGGAAGAACAAAUGUGUAAGUAACUAUGCCCGUAUUGACGGUACCUAAUCAGAAAGCCACGGCUAACUACGUG